CCUACGGGAGGCAGCAGUGGGGAAUAUUGCACAAUGGGCGGAAGCCUGACGCAGCGACGCCGCGUGAGGGAUGACGGCCUUCGGGUUGUAAACCUCUUUCAGCAGGGACGAAGCGCAAGUGACGGUACCUGCAGAAGAAGCGCCGGCCAACUACGUGCCAGCAGCCGCGGUAAGACGUAGGGCGCGAGCGUUGUCCGGAUUUAUUGGGCGUAAAGAGCUCGUAGGCGGCUUGUCGCGUCGACUGUGAAAACCCGCGGCUCAACCGCGGGCCUGCAGCCGAUACGGGCAGGCUAGAGUUCGGUAGGGGAGACUGGAAUUCCUGGUGUAGCGGUGAAAUGCGCAGAUAUCAGGAGGAACACCGAUGGCGAAGGCAGGUCUCUGGGCCGAUACUGACGCUGAGGAGCGAAAGCGUGGGGAGCGAACAGGAUUAGAUACCCUGGUAGUCCACGCUGUAAACGUUGGGCGCUAGGUGUGGGGGACCGUCUCCGGUUCUCUGUGCCGCAGCUAACGCAUUAAGCGCCCCGCCUGGGGAGUACGGCCGCAAGGCUAAAACUCAAAUGAAUUGACGGCUGAGACGNGCGAGACGACGACGAGGGAGAGG
rnacentral:rRNA from 1 species